UGAUGGCUAGACGACUGGAUCAGAGCAUCUCCAGAACUGCAGCUCUUGUGGGGUGUUCCCGGUCUGCAGUGGUCAGUAUCUAUCAAAAGUGCUCCAAGGAAGGAACAGUGGUGAACCGGAGACAGGGUCAUGGACGGCCGAGGCUCAGCGAAGGCUGACCCUUGUGGUCCAACCCAAUUUUACAAAAAACAUCUGACACAAACCAUGUGAUUAAAACACAUUUGUGCGUAAAAGAUCUAAAUCUUUCUGUGUUGAGAGGAAUAACACACUGAGUUAAAAGUAACACAAAAUGUGUCGUCCUUAUCUAGACACACAGAUGUGUUGAGAAAUAAAAAGGUUGUGGUUUUCAACACUUCGGUUUUAAGAGUCCAAAAACACCCAGAUCAACUAACCCUAACCUCCGCAAAACUGUGUGUCGACAUGACGAGAAUCAGCGCCGGUGUGAGUGUUUCGAGAACAGGAUUGAGACUACGUUUGGGCAGAAGAAUGAUCUUUUGACACGACAACUGACAACAAGAAACUUGAUCAAAAUGAAGCUAUUUGUUGUCUUUUAUCCAUCAUCUCCAGGCCAUGACGUCAGAGCACACCUCAUCUCAACCAGCGUACAAACCCACUUUACUGCAAUCACUAAACCAAUCAUCAGUACAUCUUCAUAAACACGUCUCAUUUCUCCAGUUCUUUCAGGUUCAGUGUUGACUGUAAGAUCUCCACGGACUGCGUUUACUGGCACUGUCAGAACAACCUCACACUCGAAACCAUGACUCCUAUCAUCAUUGGCGUAGCAGUAGGGGUGAUUUUGCUCAUCAUCAUCAUCGCCAUCAUCAGCUGUAGGGGUUGUAAUUGUUGCAUUAACGCCAGCUGAUGAGUUCAGCUCCCAGCAUUCCCUCUCAUGUCAGCUCGACCGGACCCUUGCGUACAGCAGUAGACCGCGCCUUAUUGCAUGAAGAUUAUACAAGACCAGCGGAUGUGCUUUAGUCUAUUCUUUUGUCUCUUUUAUUUUCAGUUUAUUCUUACAGUUUGGUUUUUGUUCAGACAGUUUUACUUUAUUAAGUGUUUUGUUUCAGUUUUGUUGAUGUUUCUUCCAUUAUAUUUAGUUUCAGUGUUUUAGAGCUGUCAAAGUUAACAGAGCUGAAUGUAAAUCUAGUGUCAUGUUUACUGCAGGUGGAUUGAUUGUAAAUGCUCAAAAUUGACUGAUUAAUAUAUUGUGUAUCAAAGAUUAAAAUUAACUCAUGGUCAGUUUUAUUUUGUUAGUUUUGUUGGUUAAUGUGAUUGAGUUUCAGCUUUUUCACUUUUGUUAUUUAGGUUUUCAUUAGUUUUCACUAACAGUGAAAUGUUCACAGAUGUCUUAAAUGACUUUCACACAAAACCUGCAAACAGCAGGAAAAGAAACAGCCAUGAUUCUGUUUGAAGGAAGUGUGAACAAGUUUUCUGUUGAGUUUAUUCUUCUGAAGGUCUAAAAUGUGAGAAAGAUUUCCCACAGUUCUGUCACGCGUGUUCAACACUGGAUCCCGACUGAUGAAAUAAAAGAGAAAUGAUCUCUGGCGCUUUUAUUGUUGAUAUUAAUCAGUAAUAGAGUAUUAUAGAUAUAUUACUCUUUUUAUUUAUGUAUUUGAAUAUUUGUAUAUACAGGUGUACACUUCUUGCCCUUAAUUUAAAAAGAAAGAGAUUUUUACUGUUUUGAAUGUGAUGUUGAGUAUGAUCGCAUAGUACGUUUCCUGGAAAUCCUAUAUUUGAUGUACCUUGGAAUUCAGUGCCCAUAUUUAUUCACCACGGUAUUGGCAGGUUAGUCCAAAACACUAGACAUGAACUACAUCAACACUUGCAUUCAAGAGAAUGAACUAGAAGUUACGCUUACUGUGAGGAAAACUAGUCCAUUUGCGACAUACGGCAUUUAUUUAUUUAGCCUCUGUGACCCCACAUUAAAAUAUGCAACUCGCUGAAAUAUUACUAGAUUUAGUUUUUUUUUUCUACUUAACAGUAAGGGAGCCUCCUUAAUUUUAUGUUAAUUCAAUACCUUUUCAAAAAUCCUUCAUAUAAUGUUGAGAAAAAGUUUCCCCAAACUGCUGCCUCUCCUGUCAGAGAAACUGUCAGCAGCGUGAGAACUAGUGGGCGGAGCUACAGGUGCUGCCCCACCCCAUGACUGCUCUCAUUGGCUCACACGAUUAAGAAUGUGUUCGUAUUGGUUUAGGAGACCAACUCCCAGAUCAAGAAUUUUCAUAACCCUCAGAUUCAAAUCUUGUUUUUGUCUACUGAUUUUUCUUUCUUUGGAAAGACGUUUCAUCAGCUGAACAAUCAGUAUGUUGGUUUGUUGUUCCUCUUGUUAUUUUCCCUGUGAAUAUACAUAUAAACAUGUUCAGAAUGAACCGGCCCUAAUAGUGUUUUAAUGACACGACAGUAUUUUAUUACUUCAUGCAUUAAUUCAUUGCUUGACUGUAAAUGGAGAUGUAUUCACA